GGCUUGCGUGGAAUGCCACGUUUGCGCUUGAUACCCUUUACUACGGGGAGUAUAUGAAUUAUGGAGCUGGAAGUGGCCUGGGGAUGAGGGUGACGUGGCCAGGGUACAAGGUUAUUACAUCGCCCGCAGAGGCGAGUACGUUUACAGUGGGGGAGUUUAUCGCAGGUUCCAUGUGGCUGCCAUCUACGGGAGUAGCCUUUUUAGCUGGCUUAUCUGCAUAAAGUAAUGCUAUGUGCAUAGGCUUGUAUAUAUAUGGUUUCGUUCACAAGUUGGUACACUUGAGCCGAUGUUUGUUGUUGUGUUGUCAUGUGUCG
rnacentral:misc_RNA from 1 species